GCAAUGAUUCGUCGCCAUAGGAUGGGACUGCGGCCUAUCAGCUUGUUGGUGAGGUAAUGGCCCACCAAGGCGAUUACAGGUACGGGCUCUGAGAGGAGAAGUCCGGAGAUGGGUACUGAGACAAGGACCCAGGCCCUAUGGGGCGCAGCAGGCGAGAAAACUUUGCAAUGUGCGAAAGCACGACAAGGUUAAUCCGAGUGAUUUCUGCUAAAGAAAUCUUUUGCAAGUCAUAAAACCACUAGUGAAUAAGGGGUGGGCAAGUUCUGGUGUCAGCCGCCGCGGUAAAACCAGCACCUCAAGUGGUCAGGAGGAUUAUUGGGCCUAAAGCAUCCGUAGCCGGCUCUGUAAGUUUUCGGUUAAAUCCAUGUGCUCAACACAUGGGCUGCCGAAAAUACUGCAUAGCUAGGGAGUGGGAGAGGUAGACGGUACUCGGUAGGAAGGGGUAAAAUCCUUUGAUCUAUCGAUGACCACCUGUGGCGAAGGCGGUCUACCAGAACACGUUCGACGGUGAGGGAUGAAAGCUGGGGGAGCAAACCGGAUUAGAUACCCGGGUAGUCCCAGCUGUAAACGAUGCAGACUCGAUGAUGCAUUGGCAUAUAGCCAGUGCAGUGUCGCAGGGAAGCCGUUAAGUCUGCCGCCUGGGAAGUACGUACGCAAGUAUGAAACUUAAAGGAAUUGGCGGGGGAGCACCACAAGGGGUGAAGCCUGCGGUUCAAUUGGAGUCAACGCCGGG
rnacentral:rRNA from 2 species